UUAGCAAUGAAAGGCUGUAAAGUCUCUGUCAUGCAGUGGGUCCACAUACUUAUCCUGUGGGGCACAGUUUACUGGCCUUAUACUACUGCCCAGCCGACACUGACUCAGCCAUCCACAAUGUCAGCAUCUGUGGGUCAGACACACAAACUGUCCUGUGUCCUCACCACUGGGUAUGACUUUGAUAGUGCUUACGCUGUGUGGCACCAGCAGAAACCUGGUAAUACCCCACGGUAUCUGGCACAGUGUGAUAACAGUAAUAACUACAAAGGCUCUGAUGUCCCUGACCGAUUCAAGUGUUCCCUGGAAUCAGCCACUCUCAGCCAUCUGACCAUCUCUGGUGUCCAGGCAGAUGAUGAAGCUGAUUAUUACUGUGCAUUCUGGGAUAAGACCAACAACCUAUACACAUUGUUGCAACUUCACAACAAGACACUGGUGGACCUGGAGACAGAACCAGAAUAUGCCGUUGAGGAGGAAGAGAACAGAGUGAAGCCACCACCACUCCCUUCUACUCCACCACAAAUGGACCUUGUGGCAUGA